AGCAGCCGCGGUAAUUCCAGCUCCAAUAGCGUAUAUUAAAGUUGCUGCAGUUAAAAAGCUCGUAGUUGAAUUUCGGGACCAUCAUGUCGGUCGUGCCUCGGUACGUACUGGCAUUAUUGGUUUCUACCUUCUGAAGAACCUCGAUGUCAUUAAUUUGGUGUCUUGGGGGAAUCAGGACUGUUACUUUGAAAAAAUUGAGUGUUUAAAGCAGGCUCGCGCUUGAAUACAUUAGCAUGGAAUAAUGAAAUAGGACGUUUUGAUUCUAUUUUUGUUGGUUUCUAGGAUCGACGUAAUGAUUAAUAGGGAUAGUUGGGGGCAUUAGUAUUCAAUUGUCAGAGGUGAAAUUCUUGGAUUUUAUUGAAGACUAACUACUGCGAAAGCAUUUGCCAAGGAUGUUUUCAUUAAUCAAGA
rnacentral:rRNA from 1 species